UUAAGAAGAGCAUAUGGUGGAUGCCUUGACAUCAAACGACGAUGAAGGACGUAGCAAUCUGCGAUAAGCUUCGGGGAGGUGAUAAGCAACCUUUGAUCCGGAGAUUUCCGAAUGGGGAAACCCGGUCCCGAUAACAUCGGGAUCAUCACUUGCUGAAUACAUAGGUAAGUGAAGAAGACCUGGCGAAGUGAAACAUCUCAGUAACCAGAGGAAAAGUAAACAAUAAUCACUUCACUAACGUUACGCAGGAAUUUUUCUGCGGAGCGUUAGCGGAGUGUGUGUUAUUCCCAGAGUAGUGGCGAGCGAAAUGGGAUGAGCCCAAACUCAUAGUGUGGUAUCGCUGAUUGCCAUUCAGCCCUAGGUUGAAUGGUAUAUCAUGAUACGAGGUGCAGGCCGUUGCAUUAUGGGAGUUAUGAGACACUGCGUUCGCUGCCUGUUUAGGCGAGCGGUGGCAUGUAUGACGUUAAACUAAGGGUCCUGGAAAGGCCCGCCAAAGAAGGUGAUAGCCCUGUUGUUGAAAACGUUUAUACUCACUGUGCAGUUGUUCUCGAGUACGGCCAGACACGUGCAAGCUGGUCGGAAAUUGGGAGGACUGUCUUCCAAGGCAAAAUACGUUUGAUGAUCGAUAGUGAACAAGUACCGUGAGGGAAAGGAGAAAAGAGACCCGAGAGGGUUUGUGAAAUAGACCUGAAACCAUAUGCUUACAAGGAGCCGGAGUCCCGAUUUAUCGGGAUGACGGUAUUCCUAUUGAAGAAUGAGCCAACGAGUUUAUGGACUGUUGCUUACUUAAGUCCUACGGGACGCAGGUGUAGCGAAAGCGAGUGUGAAUAGCGCGUUUCCAAACUUUCUUUUUCUCUUGAUAGCAAUAUGAAGAGAGAAAUGAUUGUUUGAAUGUAGCAGCCAUAAGACCCGAAACCGGGUGAGCUAUCCAUGACCAGGGUGAGUCCCAAUGAUAAGUUGGGAGGAGGCCCGAACCCACGCGCCGUGCAACACGCGGGGAUGAGUUGUGGAUAGGAGAGAAAUUCAAAUCGAACUCGGUAAUAGCUGGUUCUCCCCGAAAGAGCUUUAGGGCUCGCCUCGUGUGUUUCCGCUGGUGGUAGAGCACUGGAUGAGGGUUGAGUCCGCAAGGAUAUCGCUUUCAAUCAAACUCCGAAUACCAGUGAUUAAAACACGAGAGUCAGACCGUGGGGGCUAAGCUUCACCGGUCUUGAGGGAAACAGCCCAGAUCGCCAGUUAAGGUCCCUCAAUCCAUAUUAAGUGUUAAAGGUGGUGUUAAUUCUUAUACAACCAGGAUGUUGGCUUAGAAGCAGCCAUCAUUUAAAGAUAGCGUAACAGCUCACUGGUCAAGAGUUUUCGCGCCUAAAAUGUACCGGGGCUAAAUAUGGUACCGAAACUGCGAAUUCCGAUUUAUCGGAAUGGUAGGGGAGCAUUCCAAGCUGCUGCGAAGCUCACGUCGUGAGACGGAGUGGAGCGCUUGGAAGGGAGAAUGUUGGCAUGAGUAGCAAAAACCAAUGUGAAAAUCAUUGGCGCCGAAAAUCCAAGGUUUCCUGGGCCAGGAGAAUCCUCCCAGGGUUAGUCGGGCCUAAGGCGAGGCCGAAAGGCGUAGUCGAUGGACAAGCAGGUUAUUAUUCCUGCACCUCGUAGCGUUUGUCACUUCUGACGUCACGCGAAGAUACGAGCGGGCUAUGGUAUGUCCGUUUCGCAAGAUGAAGGCAAAGCCCUCGGGUAGAGCCGAUUCGUGUUAACGCGGGGCCAAGAAAAGGGAGUGGCGUUAGGCGCUAUGGGUCCGUACCGCAAACCAACACAGGUGGAUACGUCGAGAAGACGAAGGCGAACGAGAGAACCCUUGUUUAGGAACUCUGCAAUACAGCGGCCGUAACUUAGGGAUAAGGCCUGCCCGAGCAAUCGGGCCACAGCUAAAGACAUCAGGCGACUGUUUACCAAAAACACAGCUCCCUGCUAACUCGCAAGAGGAUGUAUAGGGGGCGAUGCCUGGCCAGUGUCCGAACGUUAAGGAAGGGAGUCAUUCCUGUCGCAAGACGGGAGGCAGCUCUCAACUGAAGCGCGGAUGAACGCCAGCAGUAACUAUAACUGUUCUAAGGUAGCGAAAUACCUUGUCGGGUAAGUUCCGACGCGCACGAAUGGCAUAACGGUCUGAUGACUGUCUUAACAAG
rnacentral:rRNA from 1 species